CUGGUCUUCGUGUUUACCGGUGGUGAUGGCCGAGGAAGAGUCUGUCUUCUUAUGGGAUACGGGGAGCUGAAACUUUCCUGUUCUCACAGAUGGUCUUACUGAAGAAGCAGAGGAACAGAGACAGGAAAUGUCGGUAGCAGCAGACGCCGGCCAGAGCGCACAGACCGCCUCCUUCCCAGCACGCAGGCUGCUGGCUCCUCCCGGCCCCACGGCCCUCGCCUGGCUCCCAGCUCCCAGGGAGACGCGGGGGCCCCACAUACACUGUUUCGUCUGCGUGGUUACUUGGCUGGGCUCCCGGACAGCCUCAUAAAUCAGCGCGGCCACAAUAAGAAGCCACUGGAAGCAGCAUCUGGCCAUCGUGGCGCCGGAGAAGGCGGGGACACGUCUGUCUGGGUGGACGGCACCGGAGCACAGAGACUCAGUUUCCUCAUCUGGGAAGCGGAGCUGUGGCGCAUCCCUGCUGCCCGCGGCCCGGCCGGGACGCAGAUCCAGCGCGAAAGAGCUGAGCGGCUGCUCUGUCGUCACCGGCCUCCAGCGACAGAAAGGGGCUGAGCCGGCAGGAGGCCUUGGGCGUCCAGUCCCCCACGCGCGGGACCUCUGGUUGUCAGGGAGGCUGACAGACAGAGGGGCCAGGCUGAGGGGUCAGGCUUGUCCCCAGCUCUCUCCUGGCCCCGGAGGUGAGCAAGAGGUGACUUUAGGACAAGCUACGGGCCGCCCUCUGCCGUGGGGCUGGGUGCGCCUCUUCUGGAAAUACAAACAGGCCCCAGACAGGUGUAGGUAACUUCCUGCCUGACAGAUGUGCCCACAUCAUUCGGGAAGCUGGGGCUGCUGGGGAGGCUCAGGUUUGUGAGGUGACGUCUGGGAGGCCUGAUCCCGCCCCCGGGGCUCAGUGCAGACGGGCUCGGGGCCGGGGCUCGCUGGCCUCCCACUGCACUGCGGCCAGCCGGCCCCGGGUGUCCAGCUGUGGGCCGCUGGCCUCUCCUCAGGUUUCCCUGCACCCGGACCCCCUCCCCACACUGGCUCUGAGCUCGGGCGGAGUGCUGGGGGUGCUCCGAGGACCCACACAGGUGCUCAUGCCUGCCCGUGGGACGGCUCCCGGGUCAGGUGGCGGGCACGGCUCUGGGACCGGCGGGCUGGGCUUGGGGCCCAGCUCUGCCCUCACUGGCUUGGGGCCUCAAGCCCA